GCCUUCGUGGUGUAAUGGUCAGCACACUGAGCCGGUAUUUUGGAGGUCCGUGGUUCGAUUCCCGGCGAAGGAA
rfam:Stegodyphus mimosarum contig98563, whole genome shotgun sequence.